rnacentral:tRNA from 1 species
GGUGGGAUUCCCGAGUGGCCAAAGGGAGCAGACUGUAAAUCUGCCGUCUGUGACUUCGAAGGUUCAAAUCCUUCUCCCACCA